UUGUCUAUUUUCUUUGCUCAGUCAGUAGAGCAUGAGACUCUUAAUCUCAGAGCCAUGGGUUCAAGCCUCAUGUUGGGCAAA